rnacentral:lncRNA from 1 species
CAUAUUGAAUAAAUUGAAAAUGAUCAAACAACAAAAAUUAAUAGAUGUGUAGAAGGUAAAAAUAAAUGUGUAGAUAGCAUCAUUUAUACAAUAUUAAUGUCAUGUUUUCUAUAAAGAACUUCUUUAUAGAAAACCGAGCGUCUGUGCAUAGAAUUUUUUUUCAUACAAAAAGCACGCAUUUGCAUUGAUCACACUUUAUCUGGAAGUUUCUUGGUUUGAAAUGAUUUGAAAGAGUUACCAAAUGCUCACCCACUAUUUAGCAACCAAGCAAACAAAACUUGUAAAAGCACAAAAGCAAACUUCAUUGUCUAUUGCUUGAAGAAAAAAGAAAGAAAAACGAAGGAAAAAAAUAAAGAAAUGAGCAAGCCGAGUACUGUGGAGUGUAGGUACCACCAAUGGACUGAAACAUCCUCGAAAAUUCCAUGGAAAAUGACAUUUUCCAGGACAAAUGCGACUCAACCUUUGCUACCAUUUUCUUCGUUUGUACCAAUUUUACGUACACUAUUUGCUUAUCAUUUUUCUCAUUUGUGA